rnacentral:rRNA from 1 species
AGGCCGAGAGGCGCAGUCGAUGGGAAUGCGGCGAAGAUUCCGCAGCCCGUCCGCGUGGCGAUGACCGUGACGGGGGUGGCAAGGCAGCCCGGGCGAUCGGAAGAGCCCGGCGGCCGGCGCGCAGGGGCGGGGGAGCCAAAGCUCUUCCCCAGAUGCCCCAGGGCCGGACGGGAGGAAAGCGGGAGACCGCGAGUACGAAGGCGCCGGGUACACCCUCCAGGAAAAGCGGCUAGCGUCAGAGCGCGGGCGGCCCGUACCAAGAACGGACACACGUGGCCUGGGCGAGAAGCCCGAGGCUAGCGAGACAACUGUUGCUAAGGAACUCUGCAAGACUGCUUCGCAAGCUAGCGAGAAGAAGCGCCCGGGGGCGAACAGCCCCGCGGGCCGCAGCGAAGAGGCAGGGGUGACUGUUUACCAAAAACACAGCUCUGUGCGAAGCCGCAAGGCGACGUAUACGGGGUGAUGCCUGCCCGGUGCUGGAAGGUUAAGGGGAGGGGUCAGGCCGCAAGGCCGAAGCCCCGAGCCGAAGCCCCAGUGAACGGCGGCCGUAACUAUAACGGUCCUAAGGUAGCGAAAUUCCUUGUCGGGCAAGUUCCGACGCGCAUGAAUGGUAUAACAAUCCCUGCACUGUCUCGGCAGCAGACUCGGCGAAAUCGUAAUACCGGUGAAGAUGCCGGUUACCCGCGACUAGACGGAAAGACCCCAUAGAGCUUCACUGCAGGUCGGCGCUGGGCUGGCCAGCGGCUCGCACAGGAUAGGAGGAAGGCUUCGAUCCGGGACCCCUGGGCCCUGGGGAGCCGUCGUUGGGAUACCUCCCCUGCCGCUAGCCAUCCCUAACCGGGACCCUGGACGGGCCCCGGGACAGCGCCCGCCGGACAGUUUGACUGGGGCGGUCGCCUCCCAAAGAGUAACGGAGGCGUUCGAAGGUGCCCUCGGCACGGUAGGAAACCGUGCCAUCGAGUGCAAACGCAUAAGGGCGCCUGACUGCAAGGCUGGCAGGCCGAGCAGACGCGAAAGCGGGAGUUAGUGACCCGGCGGUUCCAGCGUGGAAUGGCCGUCGCUUAACGGACAAAAGCUACCUUGGGGAUAACAGGCUGAUCCGGUCCAAGAGUUCACUUCGACGACCGGGUUUGGCACCUCGAUGUCGGCUCAUCGCAUCCUGGAGGGGCAACACCUUCCAAGGGUUUGGCUGUUCGCCAAUCAAAGCGGUACGCGAGCUGGGUUCAAAACGUCGUGAGACAGUUUGGUCCCUAUCUGUCGUGGGCGUGGGAGGACCUAGGGGAUCCCCCCCCAGUACGCAAGGACCGGGGGGGACGAGGCUACGGUGCACCGGUUGGGACGCCAGUCCCACGGCCGGGCAGCCGCCCUCGGGACGGAUAAGCGCUGAGAGCAUCUAAGCGCGAAGCCGGCCCCGGGGUCAGUCCUCCGUUGGACAUGUUCCAUGAAGGGCCCGGGAAAGUACACCCGGUUGAUGGACGCCAGGCGCAGGCACCGCGAGGUGCACAGCCGUGGCGCUCCAAUGGCCCGAGACGCUUGUCG